rnacentral:rRNA from 1 species
GACGAACGCUGGCGGCGCGCCUAAUACAUGCAAGUCGUACGGGUCGGCUUCGGCCGGCUAGUGGCGGACGGGUGAGUAACACGUGGGUGACCUGCCCUCGAGUGGGGAAUAACGCUGCGAAAGCAGCGCUAAUACCGCAUACCCUCAGCGCUUCGUGGCGUUGAGGAAAGCUCCGGCGCUCGAGGAGGGGCCUGCGCCAGAUUAGCUAGUCGGUGGGGUAACGGCCUACCGAGGCGACGAUCUGUAGCUGGUCUGAGAGGAUGAUCAGCCACACUGGGACUGAGACACGGCCCAGACUCCUACGGGAGGCAGCAGUAAGGAAUCUUCCGCAAUGGACGCAAGUCUGACGGAGCGACGCCGCGUGCGCGACGAAGCCCUUCGGGGUGUAAAGCGCUUUUCUCAGGGACGAGCCAAGACGGUACCUGAGGAAGAAGCCUCGGCUAACUACGUGCCAGCAGCCGCGGUAAUACGUAGGAGGCAAGCGUUGUCCGGAAUCACUGGGCGUAAAGCGCGUGUAGGCGGUGGGGCAAGUCGACGGUGAAAGCGCCGCGCUUAACGCGGCGAGGUCCGUGGAAACUGCUCGACUGGAGGACGGUAGAGGGGGGUGGAAUUCCCGGUGUAGUGGUGAAAUGCGUAGAGAUCGGGAGGAACACCAGUGGCGAAGGCGGCCCCCUGGGCCGCUCCUGACGCUGAGACGCGAAGGCGCGGGGAGCGAACGGGAUUAGAUACCCCGGUAGUCCGCGCAGUAAACGAUGUACACUAGGUGUGGGGGGUAUCGAGCCCCUCCGUGCCGUAGUUAACACAGUAAGUGUACCGCCUGGGGAGUACGGCCGCAAGGUUA